rnacentral:rRNA from 1 species
GAUGAACGCCGGCGGCGUGCUUAACACAUGCAAGUCGAACGAAGCAGAUUGAGAUCUUCGGAAGGAUAUCUGACUGAGUGGCGGACGGGUGAGUAACGCGUGGGUAACCUGCCUCAUACAGGGGGAUAACAGUUAGAAAUGACUGCUAAUACCGCAUAAGCGCACAGUACCGCAUGGUACGGUGUGAAAAACUCCGGUGGUAAGAGAUGGACCCGCGUCUGAUUAGCUAGUUGGUGGGGUAACGGCCUACCAAGGCGACGAUCAGUAGCCGACCUGAGAGGGUGACCGGCCACAUUGGGACUGAGACACGGCCCAAACUCCUACGGGAGGCAGCAGUGGGGAAUAUUGCACAAUGGGCGAAAGCCUGAUGCAGCGACGCCGCGUGAGUGAAGAAGUAUUUCGGUAUGUAAAGCUCUAUCAGCAGGGAAGAAAAUGACGGUACCUGACUAAGAAGCACCGGCUAAAUACGUGCCAGCCGCCGCAGUAAUAC